rnacentral:rRNA from 1 species
CACUCCUGCGGGAGGCAGCAGUGGGGAAUAUUGCACAAUGGGCGCAAGCCUGAUGCAGCCAUGCCGCGUGUAUGAAGAAGGCCUUCGGGUUGUAAAGUACUUUCAGCGGGGAGGAAGGCGAUAAGGUUAAUAACCUUGUUGAUUGACGUUACCCGCAGAAGAAGCACCGGCUAACUCCGUGCCAGCAGCCGCGGUAAUACGGAGGGUGCAAGCGUUAAUCGGAAUUACUGGGCGUAAAGCGCACGCAGGCGGUCUGUCAAGUCGGAUGUGAAAUCCCCGGGCUCAACCUGGGAACUGCAUUCGAAACUGGCAGGCUAGAGUCUUGUAGAGGGGGGUAGAAUUCCAGGUGUAGCGGUGAAAUGCGUAGAGAUCUGGAGGAAUACCGGUGGCGAAGGCGGCCCCCUGGACAAAGACUGACGCUCAGGUGCGAAAGCGUGGGGAGCAAACAGGAUUAGAAACCCCUGUAGUCC